rnacentral:lncRNA from 1 species
ACAAUAUCCAUGAUAAUCCUGGAGUUGGAAUAUUGAUAUGAUCAAAUUGUUUGAUCGAAAAGGAGGAAUUAUGUAUUUUCAAAAAGAUCAGUGAGAGUGUCCAAUAUUGACAUCGGUUAAAAUAUGGUUGAAUAUGGAAUUCUUCAUGAAAGAUAUAAAGCAGGCAUCCUAAAGAUCUAUAGAGAUAGAUGCAAUAGGAUGCUUGUGUUUUCACAGAUAAAGUACAGAGAGUAGAUGCUGAAAGGGUUCAGCAUGAAAAUCUC